GCCCUACUGGCGCAAUGGCUAGCGCGUUUGACUUCUAUAACGAAAUCAAGAGGUUGCGAGUUCGAGUCUCGCGUGGGGUU
rnacentral:tRNA from 1 species